UAGGGAAUCUUCCGCAAUGGACGAAAGUCUGACUGAGCAACGCCGCGUGAGUGAAGAAGGAUUUCGGUUCGUAAAACUCUGUUGUUAGGGAAGAAAAAAUGUAUAGUAACUAUAUACAAAAGAGACGGUACCUAACCAGAAAGCCACGGCUAACUACGUGCCAGCAGCCGCGGUAAUACGUAGGUGGCAAGCGUUGUCCGGAAUUAUUGGGCGUAAAGCGCGCGCAGGUGGUUUAGAAAGUCUGAUGUGAAAGCCCACGGCUCAACCGUGGAGGGUCAUUGGAAACUAAUAAACUUGAGUGCAGGAGAGAAAAGUGGAAUUCCUAGUGUAGCGGUGAAAUGCGUAGAGAUUAGGAGGAACACCGGUGGCGAAAGCGGCUUUUUGGCCUGCAACUGACACUGAGGCGCGAAAGCGUGGGGAGCAAACAGG
rnacentral:rRNA from 1 species